rnacentral:piRNA from 1 species
UUGAACAAUUGAUUAAGGACUCUGGCU